GUUGACAUGUCAUCACUUCAUUUUUUUGCGCCUGCGCAUAAAUCUGAGAAACGUGAGUUUUGUCUUCAUUGUUUAUCUCGACAUAGGAUAGGUUGUGUGAAAAUAUUACUGAUGUUUAACGUUAAAAAUGGACCAAAAGAUUAAUGCUAAACAACAUUUGACAUGUUUGAACAAACAUAAAUAGAUUAUUUACUAGGUUUUUUAGCUUUUCGGGCGUGAUUUUACAGUCCCCCACCACGUUUUGUGGGAGCAUAAUGAACACUAAGUACUUGGUGUUAUUUGGACAUAAAUUAUGAACUUUGUCAAAAGAAACCACAUUUGUUCCGGACCUGUGAUGCCUUCCGGACCUGGGAUGCCAGUCUUCUGAUGGAGAUAAUCAAAGAAUCAUAUAGCCACUGGUGCCUGGAGCUAGAAGCUUCUGGAAGGAGAGGCUACACUAUGAAUAGGCCUACACUACUCCUAAUGUGCACAGCUGCGCCAACGCUGACUGUUCUCUGCUGGCAAAUAAGCAAAUGGAAGAGGAGGUGUUUGAGCUUGUCCUUUAGUUCACUCUCGCCGAGGAUGCAUGGCCUACCGAGUCUCGGUGACUUUGAAGCACUCAAUCACAUCCAGUCUACUUCACUCGGCAUGAAAGGAGGGAUUUGGAGUGUACCUCACCACCCCUCUCUUUUUUCUGGAGAAGCAGGUUUUUUUUUUGGAGAGCUUGUGUUUUGUCGGUUUGGAAUUAUGGAUGAAUCUUCCUGGAUUGGGUUUCACUUGACAGUAACAACACAUCUCUGGUUUAACAUGACUGCUAUUAUUGUUUUCAAUGUAGCGUUCCCUUCUCCCUGCCUCUGGAAAACGGCUCUUGUUACGUUGUUCUCCUCCUGCAUUUUUUGUUGUUGUUGAUCUUUUGUUUAGUACUCUAUCAAACUCCAACAUAUCACCACCUUUCAGUUCUAUGGUGGUAUUACAGUUUUUCCCAAUUGUUAACACACAUUUGCUGAAACUACAGGGACGAGGAGGAGAUGGGCAGUGUUGUAUCGUCCAAGGCGGGCAUGGAGGUGGAGGACCCCAUUGUGGCUCAUAGCUGCGCAUAUGGUGACAUUUCCCUCAAUGUGGCCAGGUACCUCAAUGAUGGCGCGUUGACCAAAGAUGUUCCUUCCUCUCCUCCUCGUCUUCGCUAAAUUUAAUCCAGCCUCAUCUAUGAAUGAGUUCCUGGGGGAUGGGACUUGCAUCCAACUCCAUGAGUCUCUGAAAUGACAAUAAAUACUGUAAUUGCUGUAUAGUAAAGUUCACUGGCAACAUCAAUGAGUCUCUAAUGUUUUAAGAGUAUAAUACAAGUACAUUACUUACUUGCACAUAUUUGUAUCAUUUAUCCUUCACUCUUUGGGAAUUCCUUUAAAAUCGGACCCUGUAGAUUUGCUUCAUCCUGAAAUGGUGUUUCUUAAGGCUAUGAUUGAUAAGCUCACUAUGAUGUUAUGGAAUGGCAGGGUUUUCAAUAAUCUGUUGUUGGAUUUCCCGCAGUCUUAUGGCAUUAUUUUCACCUACCAUUUGCACAAUGGCAGACACUUUUUGACUGUAAAUAGACGUGUUCUACCAGCACGUGGUGGUCAUCUUUCAGUUCUACAAAAACAAAAUAGCAUACAGUACAGUAAACCCUACAGCAUACAAGAUAAACUUGUUACAAAAUAGUAUAGCUCCCAAUUAUAAUACAUACAGUAAUACAUUAAACAUUUACUUUGUUUCCCCUUAUAGUAUGUAUUGGAAUCUACAGUCUUUACUGUGCUUUAUGUUGUACUAUUGUCAAGUAGUAAAAAUAGCAGAUAGGUCCAAUGUCUGCAGUACAUACCUAUUCUAAUUUUGGAACGUUCGGAUAAUGCAUGCUACGAUGAAGCGGCUCAGAUUGGGCUGCACUCUCGGACCAGUCUCUCUCAAGGUCAAACCAUGGUUGACCACAUGGUCCACCACAGUCGCCUACAUUUAAUCAGAGUUUACUCUCCUUGUUCUUCCUCCACCUCCACCUUUACCUCCACCUCUACGUCUCCCUGCUAACUUUGUUACGUUGCUUUUCAAACACAGGAGUACUCACCUGUAGCCUUUUUAUCCAUACCAAAAGUCUGAAUUCAAAGUGGACAUUUACGCAAUUAGUGUUUGCACAUGUGAAGAGUGAAAGUGAUCAAUUGGUAAUUGAGCUUAGCUUGUUGAAGAGUGUUGCUUUUCAUUUGCACACGAGAUUGUAGUUGUGAAGGUUGUGCCAAAGGUAGAGAUUUGUGCAUUGUGUUUUGCCAAAUGUGUGUUAUAGAAUUGCAAUCUGAGUGUAAAGCAAAACAUGUGCCAGUAGUAUUGCAAAUGUGGUGUAUGGUUCUGCUAAAAUGAGUUACUGGUUUGGGUCAUUGUGCCUCAUGGGCCAGUUUUAGUGUGUAAACAAUCGGGAAAAACUGUACAUGUACUUUGGCUAGGAAAAUGAAAGUGAAGGUUGACUACAACCUUUUAGCAGGAGGUUGUUUCACAAAGCAGGCUUCGUUCUUUACUCAAUUCAAUAAUAAUAAAUAAAAACUUUAUCAAAGAAUCAAACAUAAUUCCUCCCUCCAGCAAGACUCUUGGAUGUUUGGAUAAAACUGAAGUAAUUGAGAAACAUGUUCAGGAGAGUGAUGCUUUUUAAUGACCAUUGUUUCUCUAAUGACUAAGCACAACUGAAAGCAAUUACAAAAACGUUGGUUCAUACUUUUUCCUAAUUCAGCAUAAUAAACCAUCUGAGUGGUUAAAGGUUACAAAACAGAUGAGAAAUUUUGGAAGGCAUUUUUUGGAGAUGUAUUAUUCAAUGUCUGUUGUUGCCUUUUUAAUUGUUACAAUAUAUUUUAGUAUGGGCAACUGGUUGUAGGAUGACCUUCUUUUAUGUAGCUAAUUCAAUUGAUGUGAACAUAUAUUUUUGAAAACCGUGACUUUGUCUAGCUCUCUUUAUGUAACUAUAGGUGAAUGCCAAUCAUGUCUAUGUAUUUUUAUCUCUCAGGUUCUUAAUCAUCAUGCAGCCUGGUAGCUACUGUACUGUAUGUGACGUGACAGGAGUUCAGACAUUCUAAGAAAGAGAUGUUCACAUGAUGGUGUUGCCAGGAGACUAACGGUUCACUGUUCCAGUUGACAGAUCAUUAUCUGGCAUAGAGGUGAAGGGUCACGACUCAGAUGCUCUACAGCUGAAUCUGAUAUGUUGAAGGGCCUGAUGACUUCAAAGAACAAAUGAACAUUUGAAUUCUGAUGGCUUUGUAAUGGCUGAAAUACUAUACAGUUGUCACGUUCUGACCAGUAAAUGGGGUUAUUUGUUAUUGUAGUUUGGUCAGGACGUGGCAGGGGGGUAUUUGUUUUAUGUGGUUCGGGGUUUGUUAGUAUAUGUGUUUAUGUAGAGGGGUGUUUGGUUAGAGUAUUCUGGGGUUUUUGGGUUAUGUUCUUUAUUUCGUAUUUCUAUGCUCUGUCUAUGUUGUGUAUUUCUUUGUUGGCCUGGUAUGGCUCUCAAUCAGGAACAGCUGCACAUCGUUGUUGCUGAUUGAGAGUCAUACUUAGGUAGUCUGUUUUCACCUGUGGGAAGUUGUUGUUGUACUGCUGUGUGUUAGCUGCUGUGUGUUAGCAUGCAACACUGUUCGUUCGAUCGUUUUCUUGUUUUGUUUAUUUAGUGUUCAAUAAAAGUUAAGAUGAGCUCUCAACCCGCUGCGCCUUGGUCCAUUACGUACGACGACCGUUACAACAGUACUGUCCAUUUACCCAACCAUCACAUUUCUCGUCCCGCAUUUUUUCUGUACCACUUGAGCUUCUGUAUUGGAGGAGCUGAAAAAAUAUCUAUUAGCCACUCAGUCGGGCAAUUGAGGGAAUACUAGUACUUCGUACUAGUACUUCAAUGACUAGAGUUAGACAUUUUAAGAAAAGCCACUUUGGCUCCUGGUUUGGUUUUCUUUACAAGUUUUCAAAACAUCCAUUGUGUCUGGAAACUAGGACAUCAUAACACCACUGACAUCUUCCUCCCAACUCAGGCCCUUCGCACACACACACUCCAUAAUGUUUUAUCUAAUAUUUACACACAUAAAAGCCAUUGUUUGAUUUUCUUUGUCUCUACUUUGAUUGAUACCUGUAUCUUGGGGCAGGGGACCAAGCUAAUUCAAAUGGAGGUCAUGAGCAGUGUAUGAUGUCUGUGUGAGCUGUGUUAGUAACAGCUAAAUGAGAUUUGCAAAGUCUGAACAAUAAAGCUGACCUGAUAUCAUGUGAAGGCGUCAUUCAUCACGCCAGUCCUGUGAGUGCAAACUUCACCGUGAAAAAAAAACACCUCAAAGACUGGAGUGGAAUAAUCUCAUCUAACUUUCAACUGGUGAGCAAUUGCAGUAAAGAUGUCAUAUCUUAUGCCAUUAUGAAGCCUGCUCGUCCCGGGAAAUGAAAAGAACAAACAAACAAAGAACAGCACAAGCACUGCAUGAGACCACAGACUUCAAACAUGUUUUUUUUUUUUGCUUUUGUGAUUGAAUAUAUAUAGUAGAUCACAAUGAGAUGAUUCACAAUGAGUGAUGAGGCUCGCCAGCCAUAGAUCAGAGCCAGUAUUGUGGGCUAACUGAAGGGCGAUGCAAUCCUGUCAUCUUCAAAUGGCAAAUGUCCUCUAGCAGUGUUUUGAACCGUUCCUCUUAUAGAGUUUAAAUGAUAGCUUAUAAUGAAAUAGUUUGGCUACAGGCUUUGCACUUGUAGUCAUUUAUUAAUUAGCACUAAUUUCACCUCAGUAAGUAACAAUAGUUGGGAAUAGAUUGAUAUCAGAAAAUAUGGUGGUUUCAUGUCAAACUAAUUAUUUUCUAGAUUCUAUCUGGAAGAAGGAACAAAAGUGCUGUUACACGAUCCACAUAACUAAUUACCAAUCAAUGCAGCUAAAAUGAGUGGAAGUGAGAACCACUGUGCCAAAUCCUUCUAGGAAUUCAAUUUGAGACCCCUGCUAUACGGAUACCAAGGAUGCUAACUGCAUAUAAAUCAUGAAAGGAGGUGGGAGUGGGACUUUUUUUUUUUUUAUCAUGUUUUGUAAUUGCAACAAAGAUUGGAUAAUGCAUGCUCAGCUCCUUUUUCCUGCAAAUACUCCCAUUUGUCUUUGUAAUUGGAUCCUAAUUGAAGUGUGGUGCUUCAAAUAGCCAUUGUGGGAAAAGCAGGUAGGGUUCAUUUGGUGAAAUGCAAGUCAUUUAAAUAAAGCAUUUUAAUAAAGCACUGGAAGAGAAGAAGGUUUUGAUGAGCACAUUCUUUAGAUGUAUAAGACAUGGGCUGCAGUGUAACUUUUAUUAGAUUAUAUUGUGCAAUUGAGG
rnacentral:lncRNA from 1 species